AUUGAACGCUGGCGGCAUGCCUACCACAUGCAAGUCGAGCGAGCGGCUGACGGGUGAGUAAUGUAUGGGCACUGCCCCAUAGACGGGGAUAACUACUGGAAACGGUGGCUCAUACCGCAUACUAUCGUAUAACCCAUAUGGGAUUAGCUAGUAGGUGGGGUAAAGGCUCACCUAGGCGACGAUCCCUAGCUGGUAUGAGAGGAUGAUCAGACACAAUGGGACGGAGACAAGGACCAGAAUCGCGGGGAGGCAGCAGUGGGAAAUAUUGCACUAUGUGGGCAAGCCUGAUGGAGCAAUGCCGAGUGUAAGAAGAAGGCUUUCGGGGUGUAAAGUAAUUUCAGCGGGGAGGCGUUACCGGCAGAAGAAGCAGCGGCUAACUCCGUGCCAGCAGCCGCGGUAAUAC
rnacentral:rRNA from 1 species